GGAAGGAGAGAGAAGAAGGAGGGAGGAAGAAGAAGAAAGAAGGAGGAAGAAAGGAAGAAGGAAAAAGAAAGGAAAAGAAAAAGGGGGAAAAGGAGAAAUAAAAAGAGAGGGACCGGCGGUGAUUUCGGUACGCGGUCGGAGCACGCGCGCGGCGUCUGACCACCUCGCGGCGAGAUUUACGGGCACAGAUAAAAAAAAGGGUAGGGGUCGGUAUGGGUACCGGGACGGCGGAAUCGCCGGGGAGAUUUCCGAUUUCCGGGAGCUCAGCGGUAAAAAGAUUUUAAAGACGGUUUUUAACGGGUGGUUUUAGUUGGUGAUUUCUGCGGACGUUACAUUACUGUCUUGUACGGAAUAUGCCUGGAAUGUAGUAGUUGAGUGUGGGUAUAACAGGUAUACGGAAAUGUAACUUUAUGGUACUAUAAAAGGAUGUGAACCGUCCCCUUUUGAGGCCACUACUAUUCAUUGAUAAGAUAGCCACAGUUACACUUGUUCGCGUAUUUUCGCUUUCGUGUCGUGACCUCGCCUAACUUGCUGUGACGAGGUCCCAACAUUGUGGUAAUUUUUAAUCUCUCUUUAGCAAAUGUGGUGACUUAUUUUAAAUUCCUUUAUUAAGAUAAUAGAUUAGAGAAAGAAGUCUUUUCAUGAGGAUACAAUUGGAUCGUUUUGGGUUUUCUCUAAAAUUUGGAUAGAAAAAAGUUCAUUGCAUUUAAUUGCACAGUUUAUUCUUUGUUCCUGAUAACAUCAUAC
rnacentral:lncRNA from 1 species